rnacentral:rRNA from 1 species
UCUCCAGACUCCUACGGGAGGCAGCAGUGAGGAAUAUUGGUCAAUGGGCUUACGCCUGAACCAGCCAAGUCGCGUGAGGGAAGACUGCCCUAUGGGUUGUAAACCUCUUUUGUCAGGGAGCAAUUGGCGCUACGUGUAGCGUUAUCGAGAGUACCUGAAGAAAAAGCAUCGGCUAACUCCGUGCCAGCAGCCGCGGUAAUACGGAGGAUGCGAGCGUUAUCCGGAUUUAUUGGGUUUAAAGGGUGCGUAGGCGGAAUGCCAAGUCAGGGGUAAAAUCGCGGGGCUCAACCUCGCUCCGCCGUUGAAACUGGCGUUCUUGAGUGGGCGAGAAGUAUGCGGAAUGCGUGGUGUAGCGGUGAAAUGCUUAGAGAUCAUACAGAACACCGAUUGCGAAGGCAGCUUACCAAGCUACUUCUGACGUUGAGGCACGAAAGCGUGGGGAGCAAACAGGAUUAGAUACCCCCGUA